rnacentral:rRNA from 1 species
GGGGAAUAUUGCACAAUGGGGGAAACCCUGAUGCAGCGACGCCGCGUGGAGGAAGAAGGUCUUCGGAUUGUAAACUCCUGUUGUUGGGGAAGAUAAUGACGGUACCCAACAAGGAAGUGACGGCUAACUACGUGCCAGCAGCCGCGGUAAAACGUAGGUCACAAGCGUUGUCCGGAAUUACUGGGUGUAAAGGGAGCGCAGGCGGGAAGACAAGUUGGAAGUGAAAUCUAUGGGCUCAACCCAUAAACUGCUUUCAAAACUGUUUUUCUUGAGUAGUGCAGAGGUAGGCGGAAUUCCCGGUGUAGCGGUGGAAUGCGUAGAUAUCGGGAGGAACACCAGUGGCGAAGGCGGCCUACUGGGCACCAACUGACGCUGAGGCUCGAAAGUGUGGGUAGCAAACAGGAUUAGAUACCCUGGUAGUCCACACCGUAAACGAUGAUUACUAGGUGUUGGAGGAUUGACCCCUUCAGUGCCGCAGUUAACACAAUAAGUAAUCCACCUGGGGAGUACGACCGCAAGGUUGAAACUCAAAGGAAUUGACGGGGGCCCGCACAAGCAGUGGAGUAUGUGGUUUAAUUCGACGCAACGCGAAGAACCUUACCAAGUCUUGACAUCCCUUGACAGACAUAGAAAUAUGUAAUCUCUUCGGAGCAAGGAGACAGGUGGUGCAUGGUUGUCGUCAGCUCGUGUCGUGAGAUGUUGGGUUAAGUCCCGCAACGAGCGCAACCCUUAUGGUCAGUUACUACGCAAGAGGACUCUGGCCAGACUGCCGUUGACAAAACGGAGGAAGGUGGGGAUGACGUCAAAUCAUCAUGCCCUUUAUGACUUGGGCUACACACGUACUACAAUGGCGUUAAACAAAGAGAAGCAAGACCGCGAGGUGGAGCAAAACUCAGAAACAACGUCCCAGUUCGGACUGCAGGCUGCAACUCGCCUGCACGAAGUCGGAAUUGCUAGUAAUCGUAGAUCAGCAUGCUACGGUGAAUACGUUCCCG